rnacentral:rRNA from 1 species
AUGUGCUUGGCGCGAUGCAAAACCAAGCUGGUUCUCUUCGUCUUCUCUCGAGGUGCCGGACAAUGGCGUACUGUUGCAUUUGAUUCUGAAUCAGAGAUAUAUUGGGCCUCAAGGCGCUACUAUUGCCGUCGAUCCUUUUGUCGGGCAUUUUUCCCGUGGAACAAAUUGCUCAUGCUCGACACAGACAGGAUGGAGUUCUCUGUUGUCAACCUACCCAUUGAGCCCUGGCCCGAAGAGUAUGAGAUGACCUUUGUGGAGGGAGCUAAAGGAAGACUUGGGAUGUUUACUAUCUUCGACGAUUUUGAUGAGAAACAAGGUGGUGUAGUAUUUCACCUUUGGUAUGGCAUACUGCGAAAUGAUGGGGACCGCGCAAAGUUGUGGCAAGCAAAGGCGAUGAUCUCCUUGCCUUUAUCGUAUCGGCACUAUAGAAUUGCGGGUGUUGCUGGGGGAUACCUGCUCCUGCAAGACUCUCGAGCUUGA